rnacentral:piRNA from 1 species
UAAAUAUGUUGGAUGAGAAGCUGAU